rnacentral:rRNA from 1 species
CCUACGGGAGGCAGCAGUGGGGGAUAUUGGACAAUGGGGGAAACCCUGAUCCAGCGACGCCGCGUGAGUGAAGAAGUAUUUCGGUAUGUAAAGCUCUAUCAGCAGGGAAGAAAGAAAUGACGGUACCUGAGGAAGAAGCCCCGGCUAACUACGUGCAAGCAGCCGCGGUAAUACGUAGGGGGCAAGCGUUAUCCGGAAUUACUGGGGGUAAAGGGAGCGUAGACGGUAAUGCAAGUCUGGAGUGAAAGGCGGUGGCCCACCCCCCGGACUGCUCUGGAAACUGUGUAACUGGAGUGCAGGAGAGGCAGGCGGAAUUCCUAGUGUAGCGGUGAAAUGCGUAGAUAUUAGGAGGAACACCAGUGGCGAAGGCGGCCUGCUGGACUGUAACUGACGUUGAGGCUCGAAAGCGUGGGGAGCAAACAGGAUUAGAUACCCCGGUAGUC